GGUGAGUAAGUAAGAGGAGGAGGAGAAGGAAGAGGUGAAGUUGGACGGGCAGAAGGAGACGACGGGGAAGAGGAAGGGAAGUCAGGAACACAAUAACUGAUGAAAUCAGAGCGACUGUGGUUGACCAAGUUGUCAGCCAUGGGAUGAGCAUGAGGGAGGCUGGGCAAUGGGUUCAACCAAAUCUGAGCCGCUAUACUGUUGCAGGUAUCACCCAGAUAUUUUGAAAUGAGAACCGGUAAGUAACUAAGUGCUGUAGUUCUACUGGUACAGUAAUAUGUACUGUACUUUCAUAAUGAGAAGGAUCUAUCACUAAAACCAUUCAAAUGUUUUACAGAACUGCAAGAAAACCAGUAUCUGGAAGGAAGAGGUCGACAGAGCAGGAGACCCACGUUGUAAAGAUGGUCAUUGCAAAUAACUGCAUCAGACUAAGAGAGCUACAGUACCCCAUAAUGGCAGAUAACACAAUAUUCCAAAACGUCAACAGAGUGAGUCUCGCUGCACUGUCUCGUCUACUGAAACGCAAUAGAAUUAGGAUGAAGCAGCUGUACAGAGUCCCUUUCGAAAGAAACUCAGACCGUGUAAAUCAACUGAGAUAUGAAUAUGUGCAGAGAGUCAUGGAGCUAGAAGCAGAUGCAGUGCAUCAUGAGCUAAUAUAUGUGGACGAGGCAGGUUCAACCUUGCAAAAACAAGGGGCCGCGGCAGAAAUAUCAUCGGACACCGCGCCAUCAUUAACGUCCCGGGACAACUUGGUGGCAACAACAAUGUGUACAGCUAUUAGUCAAAACGGCGUCCUUCACCAUCAUGCAAUCCUAGGCCCAUACAACACCGCACACAUUAUCACAUUUCUGGACACUCUCCACAACAGACUAAUCCCUGAUGACCAGGGGCCAGAGCAGCCCAGGUACGUUAUCAAAAAACUAUUCUGUUCUUUUUCUUCUUCUAGCACAAAUGUUUUUGUUUUCUUAUACUGCACUUUUGUUGUUUGAGUGUUUUGAGAAGAAGAAAAAAAAAUGUUUUCUACUUAUUUGUAUUGAUAGUGCGUUAUGUUCGGAACACACAUCCAUACUUUACACAUUUGGAUACCUGUGUGUAUGUGUGUUUACUACAUGUAUGACAAUGUACUUUAUUGGAAACUGCUAUGCCCUGCAGACUGAAAAAGCAUAAAGCUUGAAAAGUGUUUUUCAUUUAUACUAUCAGUGCGUAGUUGGUGCUUCGUGUGCUUAUUCAAAUGAGGGUUUGUGUGUACUGUAUUGACACAAAAACAAGAAAUAAGGUUUUGUGGUUAGUGUGUAGAGUUUUGAAAAAAUAGCCUAUAGUUUCAAAGAUAGUGCCUAAGCAAUCAGAAUAAACUGUAAAUCAAACCAUGGG
ensembl:lncRNA